UUCUAUAGUAUGUUGACUGCCAAACCAUGGAGUUUUGCCCUUGCACAUUCUCUGAUCUCGGUCAUACUCCAACCAAACGGAUGACCCCACAUUAAAAUGAUUUAAUAACCCCAUCAUACUCUGAAGCAGAUCCUACUUCACGGAUGCUACUCCAACCAAAUAGAUAGUCCCGCAAUUUAAAAGGAUUAACCCUAUCAUGCUCUGAAGCAGUUCAUGCUCCAACCAAAAUGGAUGGUCCUAAUUUUAGGAUUAAUAACCCCAUCAUACUCUGAAGCAGGCCGAGACUCUAUUCAAGAUGAUCAGAGGAGUUUUUACAUUGUGGGUGACUGCUUGUGAAGGUUUUGUGAGCUUUCUCCCCAAAACCUGAUUGCCAUACCUUCAGGGAGAAGCAGGUGGUCUGGAGAAGAGAAUUUGGGCUCAAGGUUACAAAUUCUACUCAGCCCUGCAGAUUGUCUCACUUCAUAAACCCUGGAAGUGGUGUGUUUUUUUUUUUUUUUUUUUUCCCUAUU